rnacentral:tRNA from 1 species
GCCUGGGUGGCUCAGUCAGUUAAGCGUCUGACUUUGGCUCAGGUCAUGAUCUCACAGUUCGUGAGUUCAAGCCCCACGUCAGGCU